rnacentral:rRNA from 1 species
GACGAACGCUGGCGGCGUGCUUAACACAUGCAAGUCGAACGGAAAGGCCCUGCUUUUGUGGGGUGCUCGAGUGGCGAACGGGUGAGUAACACGUGAGUAACCUGCCCUUGACUUUGGGAUAACUUCAGGAAACUGGGGCUAAUACCGGAUAGGAGCUCCUGCUGCAUGGUGGGCGUUGGAAAGUUUCGGCGGUUGGGGAUGGACUCGCGGCUUAUCAGCUUGUUGGUGGGGUAGUGGCUUACCAAGGCUUUGACGGGUAGCCGGCCUGGGAGGGUGACCGGCUACAUUGGGACUGGGAUGCGGCCCAGACUGAUACGGGAGGCAGGAGUGGGGAAUAUUGCACAAUGGGCGGAGGCGUGAUGCAGCAACGCCGCGUGGGGGAUGACGGCCUUCGGGUUGUAAACCGCUUUCGCCUGUGACGAAGCGUGAGUGACGGUAAUGGGUAAAGAAGCACCGGCUAACUACGU